CCAUUUUAAAGAAAUAAAAGUUUGAUGACAGUGACUUAUCAAAUAGAGUAUGUCAGUAAAGUCAAAUUAUAAAAAAGAAUCAAGUAAAAAUUCUGGAGUUGAUAAAUAUAACAAUAGAAAUUAAAAGUUCACUGGAGAGGAGGAGUUCAACAUUAUAUUUGAAGUAGCAGAAAAGAAUUGGUGAACCUGAAGAUAAUAUCAAUAUAGAUUGUCUCUUGUGAAGGACAGAAUUUUUUUAAAGGUUUUAUUUGAGAGAGAGAGUAAGCCUAUGAGUGGUGAGUAGGGCCAGAGGGAGAGGGAGAAGCAGACUCCCUGCUGACCAGGGAGCCCAACGCUGGACUUGAUCCCAGGACCCUAAGAUCAUGACCUGAACCAAAGGCAGAUGAUUAUCUGACUGAGCCACUCAGGUGCCCGUGAAGGACAGAAUUUUUUUAAAUGAAGAGAAGUGAACUGAGCCUCAGCAAUCUAUAGGACACCAUCAAAUACCAACAGGUUGCUAGGAAUGCUAGAUGGAGAGAAAAGAGAGAAAGGGGCAGAAAAAAGUAUUUUAAGAAAUAAGACUACAAACUUGCCAAAUUUGUUGAAAAACAUUAAUUCAUUCAUCAAAGAGGCUCAACAAACUGUAAGAUAAAUAAACAUGAAGAGAGUCACACCUAGACAUGUAAUAAUUGUACUAUUGAAAGAGAAAAAUCUUAAAAGCCACAAGAAAAAACCAACUCAUACAAGGAAUGCCCCAAUAAGAUUAACAGCCAGUUGCUCAUCAGAAUGAUGGAAGCCAGAAGGCAGUAGAAUGGCAUUCAAAGGCCUGAAAAGAGUAAGUUGUCAACCAAGAAUUCUAUAUCUAGCAAACCGUUCUUCAAAAUUGAAGGCAAAAAUGAAGAGGUUGGCAGAUAAACAAAGAAAGAAAAUUUAUUGUUAGCAGAACUGCCUUACAUAAUUCUAUAGAAAUUCUUCAGGCUAAAAGGAAGGGAUAUCAGAUGGUAACUUCAAUCUACAUGAAGCAUUAAAGAGCAUUGGUCAAGAUAAUUGUAUAAGUAAUUAUUAAAGGUUAUAUAAAUAUAUAUUUUCUUUUAACUGAUAUAAAAGAUAAUGCAUAAAUAAUAAUAUAUAAAGUAAUAAAAUCGAAGUAUUAGAUAUAUAGCGUGUUUAAAACUGAAUAUGACAUUAAUAGCACAAAUGAGAGGGAAGGAAUGGAAAUAUGUUGGGACAUAUUUCCAACAGGAGAUGUUACGAAGUAGUAACUUGACAGGAAGAAAUGAAAAGUACUAGAAAUGGUUAAUAUGUAGGUUAAUAGAAAAGAAGUCAUAAACCUAUUUUUUUCUUUCUUAACGUUUUCCCUUCUUUAAAGUAUAUAUGAUUGUGUAAAAUAAUAACAUUGUAUUGUUGUGUUUUAACAUAUAUACAUAAUGUAAGUGACAAUAAUAGCACAAAAAUGGAAGAGGAGUGGAGCUGUAUUGGAACAGUCUUUGUACAUGUUACUGGACUAAAACAGUUACUGAUCUGAAGUAGAUUGUGAUAAAUUAAGAAGCGUAGGGUAAUCCAUAAAACAAGCGCCCAGAAAGUAACUUUUUAAAGUAAUAACAAGAUCAAAAAGAAAUAAGAUAUAUAGAAAACAGAUAGUAAGAUGGCAGGCCUAAACCCAGCUAUAUCAGUAAUAACAUUAAAUAUGAGUAGAUUAAACACUGCAGUCAAUAGGCAGAAAUUGUCUGACUUCAUUAAAAAAAGAUCAACUGUAUGCUGUCUACAGGAGACAUAUUUUAGUUCAAGGAAACAAGUAAGUUGAAAGUAAAAUGAUGGAAAAAAAUAAACUAUGCAAGUAGUAGGGAAAAGAGCUUGAGUGGCUCUUCCAGUAUCAGACAAGAUAGACUUUAAUAUAAAAAUGCUAGCAACAAAGAGAAGGAUAUUUUAUAAUGUUAAGAGAACCAAUUAAUCAAGAAAAUACAACAUUUAUAAACAUAAAUGCAUCUAGCACAGAGCUUUUACAUACAUGAAACAAACACUAAAUUGAGAGGAGAAAUAGCCAACUCAGUAAUAGUUGUUAGAGGCUUUAAUAUGCCACUUUUCGUAAUGGAUAGGACAACUAGAAGAAAUAUCAGCAAGGAUAUAGAAUAUUUGAACAACACUAUCAACCUGUAUGAACCAACAUCUAUAGAACAGUCUACCCAACAAUAGCAGAAUACACAUUCCUUUCAAGUGCGCAUGGGAUAAUCUUCAGGCUAGACUGUAUAUAAGGCCUCAAAACAAGUCUUAAUAAAUUUAAAGUACUGAAAUCAUACAAAAUAUUUUCUCUGACUUCAGUGGAAUUAAACUGAAAAAAGAUGGGGGAAUCCACAAGUAUUUGGAAAUUAAACAACAUAUUUAUAAAUAACUUAUAGACCACAAAGAAUCACAAGAUAAAUUAGAAAUAUUUUGAGUUAAAUGAAAAUGAAAACAUAUGUCAAAAUUUCUAAGAUGCACCCAAAUAAGUAUUUGGUAGGAAAUUUAUAGUUAUAAACAUCUACAUUAUAAAAGAAGAUCUCAGAUGAACGAUCUAAGCUUCUGCCUUUAAAAACUAGAAAAUGAGAAGCAAAAUAAACCCAAAGUAGGCAGACAGAAGGAAAUUAGAAUUAAAGCAAAAUUUAUUGAAAUUGAAAGAAAAAGAAAAAAAUGGGUGGAACCAAAAGUUAACUUUUUUGAAAAGAUAACAAAAUAGACACCCUUUAGCAAGACUGACCAAGAAGAAAAAACAAAAGACACUAAUUACCAAGACUUACUCAAGAAGAAAUAGAAAAUCUGGAUAGCCCAUAGUAAGUUAAUAAACUAAAUUAUUAACAUUUUUUUCACAAAGAAAAGCCCAGGACCAGAUGUCUUCAACGGGUAUUUGGGAAAUUUCCUUCACAAACUCUUCCAGAAGAUAGAAGAAGAAAGAACACUUUCAAACUCAUUCUGUUAGACUAGUAUUAUCCUUAUACCAAAGCCAGAUGAAAACAACA